UAUUAUUAAAUAUAUUUAUAUAAAUAUAUAUAAUAAAUAUAAAAAUAAUUUUUAGACCUUUACCUUCCAUAGUAGAAUCAAUACUGUGUCUUUGUUCCAAGGCAGAAGAGGGAUAAGGGCUAGGCAAUGGAAGUUAAGUGGUUUGCCACCACUUUGACUGAGGCCAAAUCUGACCCAGGACCUUCUGUAAAGGUACAGCCAAAACUGGAAAUAGUGGCCAGACAGGAUGUCAGCAGAGUGGGCUACUCACUGGGGCCUUCCUCUGAUCACAGCCCACGUUUCAGUGGGGGGCAGCUCCUAAGCCAAGUUCUGAAGGAAAGAUUGCCCUCUUGGACAUCUGGGUAGGAAUUGAACCUGAACAAACUUCUAACUAAAGCAAAGGAGGAAGAUGAAUGAAAGGAUAGCCACAUCUUCUAGGUAAAGGACUCGACAAGGCACAAUGCUUUUCCAGACAUGAUUCUGUCCAGUAAUGAAACCUGGAAGAAAAUGAAGAUUCUACUUUUGAAUUCUUAAGAAGGAAAGAAGAAGAAGUUGGGUACAGUCUA
rnacentral:lncRNA from 1 species